rnacentral:rRNA from 1 species
AAAGGGAAACAACCCAGACCGCCAGCUAAGGUCCCAAAGUUGUGGUUAAGUGGUAAACGAUGUGGGAAGGCUUAGACAGCUAGGAGGUUGGCUUAGAAGCAGCCAUCCUUUAAAGAAAGCGUAAUAGCUCACUAGUCGAGUCGGCCUGCGCGGAAGAUGUAACGGGGCUCAAACCACACACCGAAGCUGCGGGUGUCACGUAAGUGACGCGGUAGAGGAGCGUUCUGUAAGCCUGUGAAGGUGAGUUGAGAAGCUUGCUGGAGGUAUCAGAAGUGCGAAUGCUGACAUGAGUAACGACAAUGGGUGUGAAAAACACCCACGCCGAAAGACCAAGGGUUCCUGCGCAACGUUAAUCGACGCAGGGUUAGUCGGUUCCUAAGGCGAGGCUGAAAAGCGUAGUC